rnacentral:rRNA from 1 species
AGUGAACGCUGGCGGUAGGCCUAACACAUGCAAGUCGAACGGCAGCACAGAGGAGCUUGCUCCUUGGGUGGCGAGUGGCGGACGGGUGAGGAAUACAUCGGAAUCUACUCUGUCGUGGGGGAUAACGUAGGGAAACUUACGCUAAUACCGCAUACGACCUACGGGUGAAAGCAGGGGAUCUUCGGACCUUGCGCGAUUGAAUGAGCCGAUGUCGGAUUAGCUAGUUGGCGGGGUAAAGGCCCACCAAGGCGACGAUCCGUAGCUGGUCUGGCAGGAUGAUCAGCCACACUGGAACUGAGACACGGUCCAGACUCCUACGGGAGGCAGCAGUGGGGAAUAUUGGACAAUGGGCGCAAGCCUGAUCCAGCCAUACCGCGUGGGUGAAGAAGGCCUUCGGGUUGUAAAGCCCUUUUGUUGGGAAAGAAAUCCAUCUGGUUAAUACCCGGGUGGGAUGACGGUACCCAAAGAAUAAGCACCGGCUAACUUCGUGCCAGCAGCCGCCGUAA